GGCCGAUGACGAAGCACCCGCUCCGAGCCGGAUUCGGCACCCGGUACUGACGAGCCCUAUGAGUGCCGAGGCC
rnacentral:snoRNA from 1 species